rnacentral:ncRNA from 1 species
AAAAGUAGCGAAUAGAACAGGCGGCUAUCACUCCUGACUAAUAUCAGAUCUUAUAAGAGAGGUGGGAUUGCCACCCCGCCUACUUUC